rnacentral:rRNA from 1 species
CCUACGGGUGGCUGCAGUGAGGAAUUUUGGUCAAUGGGCGCGAGCCUGAACCAGCCAAGUAGCGUGAAGGAUGACUGCCCUACGGGUUGUAACCUUCUUUUAUAAAGGAAUAAAGUGAGGCUCGUGUGCCUUUUUGUAUGUACUUUAUUCUUAAGGUUCGGCUAACUCCGUGCCAGCAGCCGCGGUAAUACGGAGGAUCCGAGCGUUAACCGGAUUUAUUGGGUUUAAAGGGAGCGUAGAUGGGUUGUUAAGUCAGUUGUGAAAGUUUGCGGCUCAACCGUAGAAUUGCAAAUGAUACUGGCAGCCUUGAGUACAGUUGAGGUAGGCGGAAUUCGAGGUGUAGCAGUGAAAUGCUUAGAUAUCACGAAGAACUCCGAUUGCGAAGGCAGCCUACUAAGCUGCCACUGACAUUGAUGCUCGAAAGUGUGGGUAUCAAACAGGAUUAGAUACCCGGGUAGUC